rnacentral:lncRNA from 1 species
AUGUUUGUUGCAAAGCAACCACUUUUCCUUGUGUGUGUUACAUGUGUGUGUGUGUGUGUUACAUGUGUGUGUGUGUGUGUGUUACAUGUGUGUGUGUGUGUUACAUGUGUGUGUGUGUUACAUGUGUGUGUGUGUUACAUGUGUGUGUGUGUUACAUGUGUGUGUGUUACAUGUGUGUGUGUUACAUGUGUGUGUGUGUUAUGUGUGUGUGUGUUACAUGUGUGUGUGUUACAUGUGUGUGUGUGUUACAUGUGUGUGUGUUACAUGUGUGUGUGUUACAUGUGUGUGUGUGUGUUACAUGUGUGUGUGUUACGCGUGUGUGUGUGUGUGUGUGUGUGUGUUACAUGUAUGUGUGUUACGUGUGUGUGUGUGUUACGUGUGUGUGUGUGUGUUACAUGUGUGUGUGUUGUAUGUGUGUGUGUGUUACAUGUGUGUGUGUUACAUGUGUGUGUGUGUUACAUGUGUGUGUGUUACAUGUGUGUGUGUUACAUGUGUGUGUGUGUUACAUGUGUGUGUGUUACAUGUGUGUGUGUUAUGUGUGUGUGUGUUACAUGUGUGUGUGUGUUACAUGUGUGUGUGUUACGUGUGUGUGUGUGUUACAUGUGUGUGUGUUACAUGUGUGUGUGUUACAUGUGUGUGUGUUACGUGUGUGUGUGUGUUAUAUGUGUGUGUGUUACAUGUGUGUGUGUUACAUGUGUGUGUGUUACAUGUGUGUGUGUGUUACAUGUGUGUGUGUUACAUGUGUGUGUGUUACAUGUGUGUGUGUUAUAUGUGUGUGUGUGUUACAUGUGUGUGUGUUACAUGUGUGUGUGUUACAUGUGUGUGUGUUACGUGUGUGUGUGUGUUACAUGUGUGUGUGUUACAUGUGUGUGUGUUACAUGUGUGUGUGUUACGUGUGUGUGUGUGUUAUGUGUGUGUGUGUUACAUGUGUGUGUGUUACAUGUGUGUGUGUUACAUGUGUGUGUGUUACGUGUGUGUGUGUGUUACAUGUGUGUGUGUUACAUGUGUGUGUGUUACAUGUGUGUGUGUUACGUGUGUGUGUGUGUUACAUGUGUGUGUGUUACAUGUGUGUGUGUUACAUGUGUGUGUGUUACAUGUGUGUGUGUUACAUGUGUGGAUACCUUUGUGCGGCUGGCUGGAGAAACAUCAUGA